GGUGUGACUGCGUACCUUUUGUAUAAUGGGUCAGCGACUUAUAUUCUGUAGCAAGGUUAACCGUAUAGGGGAGCCGAAGGGAAACCGAGUCUUAACUGGGCGUUAAGUUGCAGGGUAUAGACCCGAAACCCGGUGAUCUAGCCAUGGGCAGGUUGAAGGUUGGGUAACACUAACUGGAGGACCGAACCGACUAAUGUUGAAAAAUUAGCGGAUGACCUGUGGCUGGGGGUGAAAGGCCAAUCAAACCGGGAGAUAGCUGGUUCUCCCCGAAAGCUAUUUAGGUAGCGCCUCGUGAACUCAUCUUCGGGGGUAGAGCACUGUUUCGGCUAGGGGGCCAUCCCGGCUUACCAACCCGAUGCAAACUACGAAUACCGAAGAAUGUUAUCACGGGAGACACACGGCGGGUGCUAACGUCCGUCGUGAAGAGGGAAACAACCCAGACCGCCAGCUAAGGUCCCAAAGUCAUGGUUAAGUGGGAAACGAUGUGGGAAGGCACAGACAGCCAGGAUGUUGGCUUAGAAGCAGCCAUCAUUUAAAGAAAGCGUAAUAGCUCACUGGUCGAGUCGGCCUGCGCGGAAGAUGUAACGGGGCUAAACCAUGCACCGAAGCUGCGGCAGCGACGCUUAUGCGUUGUUGGGUAGGGGAGCGUUCUGUAAGCCGUUGAAGGUGUGCUGUGAGGCAUGCUGGAGGUAUCAGAAGUGCGAAUGCUGACAUAAGUAACGAUAAAGCGGGUGAAAAGCCCGCUCGCCGGAAGACCAAGGGUUCCUGUCCAACGUUAAUCGGGGCAGGGUGAGUCGACCCCUAAGGCGAGGCCGAAAGGCGUAGUCGAUGGGAAACAGGUUAAUAUUCCUGUACUUGGUGUUACUGCGAAGGGGGGACGGAGAAGGCUAUGUCAGCCGGGCGACGGUUGUCCCGGUUUAAGCAUGUAGGCGGAGGUUCCAGGUAAAUCCGGUACCUUUUAACGCUGAGGUGUGAUGACGAGGCACUACGGUGCUGAAGUGAUAAAUGCCCUGCUUCCAGGAAAAGCCUCUAAGCAUCAGGUAACACGAAAUCGUACCCCAAACCGACACAGGUGGUCAGGUAGAGAAUACCAAGGCGCUUGAGAGAACUCGGGUGAAGGAACUAGGCAAAAUGGUGCCGUAACUUCGGGAGAAGGCACGCUGAUAGGUAGGUGAAGUCCCUGCGGACGGAGCUGAAAUCAGUCGAAGAUACCAGCUGGCUGCAACUGUUUAUUAAAAACACAGCACUGUGCAAACACGAAAGUGGACGUAUACGGUGUGAC
rnacentral:rRNA from 1 species